GACGAACGCUGGCGGCGUGCCUAAUACAUGCAAGUCGAACGCAUUUUCUUUCACCGUAGCUUGCUACACCGACAGAAAAUGAGUGGCGAACGGGUGAGUAACACGUGGGUAACCUGCCCAUCAGCGGGGGAUAACACUUGGAAACAGGUGCUAAUACCGCAUAAUUCCAUUUACCGCAUGGUAGAUGGAUGAAAGGCGCUUUUGCGUCACUGAUGGAUGGACCCGCGGUGCAUUAGCUAGUUGGUGGGGUAACGGCCUACCAAGGCUGCGAUGCAUAGCCGACCUGAGAGGGUGAUCGGCCACACUGGGACUGAGACACGGCCCAGACUCCUACGGGAGGCAGCAGUAGGGAAUCUUCGGCAAUGGACACAAGUCUGACCGAGCAACGCCGCGUGAGUGAAGAAGGGUUUCGGAUCGUAAAACUCUGUUGUUAGAGAAGAACAAGGAUGAGAGUGGAAAGUUCAUCCCUUGACGGUAUCUAACCAGAAAGCCACGGCUAACUACGUG
rnacentral:rRNA from 1 species